rnacentral:sRNA from 1 species
CCUCUAUUGUCUCCUCCAUCGAUCUCUCUCGAUCUCUUCCCUCUCGAUCUCCUUAUUCUCGAUCUCUCUCUCCCACAGUCUCUCUUUUUCUCUCUCUCUCUCCUAUCUCACCUACCCUAAACCUUCACAAAGAAUAACCAGGCAUAUACCCAGCUCACCCGCAGUAAACCAUCUGCGCCACAAGCCGCCGUCCACAAAGCAUCACCAGCUGCGCCAAAAGCCGCCGUCCACGCCCUUCUCUCUUUCCUACAAUCCCGCGCUUGAGCUGUUAAUAAUUUCAGGUAACUAUUUAAAUUUUUAGGGUUUAUCGAUUAACUCUCACUCUCUCCAAACGCCUUUGUCUCUGAUCUGUGCAACUCCGACGGGAGCUCGAUCAAGAGGUUUUGGACACGGUGGAAUGAGCGGAGGAUCUGGGUCGGGUUUCCGUUUCUCACCUCCCUGCGAUCUGGUCCGGGUGAGCGGAGAGAUCGGGUUUCGUUGCUCCGCGGCUGGUCUUUGAUUUUCGGCAACUGAAUUUUCAACUCAGCGUCUGUACGUGGGAGGGAGGCAGUUAGAGAGAAGACUAGGUAAAAGUAGAGUGUGAGUGGGUUGAUGUUUUCUUUAUUGUUUUCGGCCAGCCGCUCAUUUGCAGAAGAACCCCCUUUCUCUGUUGAACCAAUAAUCUCAAGUCUCAAACAGGUUGGUUAUACUGAGGCUUAUUUGCAUUUUGUUUCGAAAUGCAAAAUCGAAGCUUGAUUUGGAUUUUGCAUAAAUACAAGUACAGUGGCGUGGAUCACUCUUACACUGCCAAAUAUGUCUUGCAACCCUUUUGGAGUAGCUUCGUUAAAAUCUUUCCCCUUUGGAUGUCGGCUGGGCACAGGCUGGAGGAGUUUAGGGGUCAGGAUUCCUAAGAUUGGGACUCCAGGGGCUUGAGGGAUUCAUGGUCGAAGGAGAGGACGGCGACGGCAUGGCCUUGGCAGAGGGAGGCAGAGAUGUCGAGCAACGGUGGUGGUGUUUCGAGAUCGUCGAAGGAGCUGCGGUGAUAUCGAAGAAUAUGCUGGAAGAAAACCUUUAGCUUUAGGGUUAGGUGUCUGUUUGGGCUUUUAGGUUACUCAUGAAGUCCAUUAUUUUGUUUAUGUGGACAUUGUAUUUGGAUUAAAUUGAUUGAAUUGUAUCAAAAAAAAAGACCCGUGGACCCGGCCCGUUUCAACCGGGCCGGGUAAGGUCUGGUUCCUAUCUUAAAAAAUGUUAUCCCCGGCCCGUUUACUUUAAACCCGGGUCCGGUCUGGUCCCUUCAAAAUUGGGCCCGACCCGGCCCGUGCCCACCCCUAGUUCAUGUCACAAGAAAGAAAGUUUUGGCUUGUAAAUUGCUAUUCUGCUUCACUAGCUAGUUUAAGGGAAUGUUCUUGCCUUGGAUCGA